AUACGGAGGGUGCAAGCGUUAAUCGGAAUUACUGGGCGUAAAGCGCGCGUAGGUGGUUAGUUAAGUUGGAUGUGAAAGCCCUGGGCUUAACCUGGGAAUGGCAUUCAAAACUGGCUGACUAGAGUAUGGUAGAGGGAAGGGGAAUUCCAGGUGUAGCGGUGAAAUGCGUAGAUAUCUGGAGGAACAUCAGUGGCGAAGGCGCCUUCCUGGACUAAUACUGACACUGAGGUGCGAAAGCGUGGGUAGCAAACAGGAGUAGAUACCCUAGUAGUCC
rnacentral:rRNA from 1 species